GUCUAUGGCCAUGCCACCCUGAACGUGCCUGAUCUCGUCUGAUCUCGGAAGCUAAGCAGGGUCGGGCCUGUUUAGUACUUGGAUGGAUGACCAUCUAGGACGACCAGGAGUUAAAAAGG
rnacentral:rRNA from 1 species